CCUACGGGUGGCAGCAGUGGGGAAUUUUGGACAAUGGGCGAAAGCCUGAUCCAGCCAUGCCGCGUGCAGGAUGAAGGCCUUCGGGUUGUAAACUGCUUUUGUACGGAACGAAAAGACUCUGGUUAAUACCUGGGGUCCAUGACGGUACCGUAAGAAUAAGCACCGGCUAACUACGUGCCAGCAGCCGCGGUAAUACGUAGGGUGCAAGCGUUAAUCGGAAUUACUGGGCGUAAAGCGUGCGCAGGCGGUUAUAUAAGACAGAUGUGAAAGCCCCGGGCUCAACCUGGGAACUGCAUUUGUGACUGUAUAGCUAGAGUACGGCAGAGGGGGAUGGAAUUCCGCGUGUAGCAGUGAAAUGCGUAGAUAUGCGGAGGAACACCGAUGGCGAAGGCAAUCCCCUGGGCCUGUACUGACGCUCAUGCACGAAAGCGUGGGGAGCAAACAGGAUUAGAUACCCUGGUAGUCUA
rnacentral:rRNA from 1 species